rnacentral:rRNA from 1 species
UCGAACGCGAAAGUUCCCCUUCGGGGGAUGAAGUAGAGUGGCGCACGGGUGAGUAACACGUAGGUAAUCUACCUUUGGAUGGGGAAUAACAACCGGAAACGGUUGCUAAUACCGCAUAAUGCAGCGGCACCUAAUGGUGACAGUUGUUAAAGCGGGGGAUCGAAAGACCUCGCGUCUAAAGAGGAGCCUGCGGCGGAUUAGCUAGUUGGUAAGGUAAUGGCUUACCAAGGCUACGAUCCGUAACCGGCCUGAGAGGGCGGUCGGUCACACUGACACUGACAUACGGGUCAGACUCCUACGGGAGGCAGCAGUCGGGAAUUUUGGGCAAUGGGCGAAAGCCUGACCCAGCAACGCCGCGUGAAGGAUGAAAUCCCUCGGGAUGUAAACUUCGCAAGAACGGGAAGAAUAAGUAGGGGUCAAUACCCCCUAUGAUGACGGUACCGUUUGUAAGCUCCGGCUAACUCCGUGCCAGCAGCCGCGGUAAUACGGGGGGAGCAAGCGUUGUUCGGAUUUACUGGGCGUAAAGGGCGCGUAGGCGGCCAGCACAAGUCAGUUGUGAAAUCUCCGAGCUUAACUCGGAACGGUCAACUGAUACUGUGCGGCUAGAGUGCGGAAGGGGCAACUGGAAUUCUGGGUGUAGCGGUGAAAUGCGUAGAUAUCAAGAGGAACACCUGCGGCGAAAGCGGGUUGCUGGGCCGACACUGACGCUGAUGCGCGAAAGCCAGGGGAGCGAACGGGAUUAGAUACCCCGGUAGUCCUGGCCUUAA